CUGGUUGUGCACCUGCCCUCACUCUCUUGCUGAACCUAAUGCCUGGAGCCAUGUUGGGGUCUAUCUUCUUCUUUGAAGCAAGGGUUGUGUUUCUACCUCUUCUAGGAUACUGUCCACAAAAAAAAGUCAUGUGCAUUUAAAAGCAAGACCAUAUAUUAAUUAAGAGGUAUGAAAUAAAGAAUAUGAAUCUAAAGGCAUGAGCAUAUAUUAAACACCAGAUAAAAAACAUUGAAAUGCAAUGCAACUAUUUGGCAUCCACUACUUUGAAGAUAGAAGGAGCACCUUCAUUGCCAGGGGUUUUGGCUGCUCAUAAUAUUCACUGUCAUCAUCAGUAUCUCCUUGAUCAUCAUCGUCAAGGAGAUAGAAAGAGACAUAUGAAUCCGAAUCUGAACUAUUAUUUAUCUUGUUUGCUGCAUGUUUCCCCUUUGUUGAUGCAGAUGGUGAGACAGAAUUAUUUAGAACAGAAGUAUAUUUGUUCAGACCCAAAUCUUGCAUCUUCUUUAUAUUCUCCUCCACUUGUUUAUCCCGUCUUCUCUCAUAAGCAGUUCACUCAUGUUGAACUACUUGCAAGAUAGAUAAGAACAAGCAUACUGUGUGUAUUAGAUAAUGUAAAGGAUUUUACUAAAAGCUAAGAGGUACUACUAUUUGCAGGGAAGGAUUUGACUAAAAGCAAAUAGAUAAGAUGUGUAGAUUCAGUCAUUAUGAAGCUUGGUUAUGAUUGUGCAAGUUCAUAAUUGUGGUUGCACUGUAACUGUAGUGUUUCCCCUGUUUGGUUGUGGAAAUCUUUAUGCAGGCUUAAACAAUGUUCAAAGUACUAGCUAGUACAUUGAUUAGGCGAUGUAGAUUUACACAAGCUGAUGAACAAAAAAAGUGAAGAUAUUCUCAUCUCUUUCUACCAGCAAGGUUCAAGAAAGCACUAAGCGCUGAGCGAGCGGUAUGGUGGUGAAAAUGCUUAAGCGUGAUUAAUCAUGCUUAAUCAUUUUUGUUAAAAAAAGAAAAAAAAAAUACAUGAUAUUGGGCCACCCUGCAGCAGCCCUUAACCCCCACCUCCUCUCUUCAUGAGUCUGCAGCCCACUAGGCCCACCUGCCAGGAGGCUCAACGCAAAACCCCUCUCCCGUGAUGACCUCUCCUCCGUGUCGUACGCUCUCCGGCUCCCUCUCCCGAAGCCUCUCCUCCCUCGUGCGAUCUUCACCUCUACCGUGAAGCCGCUCCGCCUCUCUCUCACCAAUCUGCUGCCUGCAGCCAUCGUAGGUCCGUCCGCUCUCUCUCUCUCUCGUUGAUCCGUCGAUUUGCUGCCUGCUGGAUUGACCCCGGAGGUGUUCCUCCUCUUCCUCUCCCUCCUCUACUCCCUUAAACAUGCCGAAUGGGCACGAUUAAGCAGGGCCAGCGCUUAAUUGCCCGCUUAGUAGGUAAGCGAUGCGUUGACCCUCUGCGCAACGCUUAACCGCGCCUAAUCGCACGCCUAAUCGCGCUUUCUUGAACCUUGUCUACCAGUACUAGAAACAUAAGUUCUCUACUAAAACAUGGAUGUGACUGCAUAUAACACAAUGUAAGGAACCAAACACAACUGUAUGAGUGCACAAUGAUUACAUAAAUCAAUAUACAAUAUCUCUGAUAACAACGAAUGAAUAAUUAAACUAAAUCUAGCGAUGCUUAGGGUUUAGGGGUUGGACCUUUCUGACUUCUGUGCCUCCUUUUGUUCACCAUCAAGGUCGUCUGCGAUGACCCAAAUCCAGCGAUGUUAGGGUUUAGGGGUUAGCGAGAGCAAUGUGGAUGGGGCGUGUUAGGUGGAAGGGGCGAGAGAAAUGGGGAUGGCAAUGAGAUAGAGCGGGAUGCGGCGAGUGAAGUCGGCGCCGACGCAGCUCAUCGACGCGAUUAGAGGUAAGGGGGCGGCUGUGAGGUACCUGGUCGAGGGGGCAGGUCGUCGACGGCGGAUGUGUCCCAGCGGCGGCGGUGAGGUUUCUGGUCGAGGGGGCAGGUCGUCGACAGCCGUCGUGUCCCGGCGGCGGCGAUUAGGUUUGGAGAAGUGGGGGAGAAAGAAGAGUGGGGGAGAAAUAAGAGGAGUGCGGGAGAUAGAGGAUGAGAGCGGAGUAUGUUUUAGUGACGACGGCGAAAAUGUUUUUGGCACCCAAUGUGUUUGGCAAUGCGGAGUCUAAUGCGUUUAAGUAUACUAGCGCUGGGUAUAUGUCGAAAACACGUGCAUAGCCCAAUGGUUUGACUUGCUAACUAUAAGGCCGAGCUCCAAGGUUCAAGCGCCUGCAAGGAGACUUUUUUUGUGUUUUGCAUACCAUUUUAUAUUAAUUCUUUGUUUUUUAUUUAUCUCUAUGUUUUUUUUGCAAUUAUCUAUUCAUGGACACAUUAGUUGGGUUUAUGAUCAUGUUAUAAUAUUUUGAAAUAUUUUUGCAAUAGUGGUACUAUACAUCUCUCACUUGCAAUAGCAUCUCUCACUUAGUAAUUAGCCUUAUAUGAGAGAUGUAUGCAUUUCUUAGGAUGUGUGUCACCACUUUGUCCGAAUGAGUUGAAACUAUUUUGUGAACAUUGUACACCAAAAUGAAUGGUCCAUGCAAGUUUUUAGAGUUUUCUAGCUAGGCUAUGGUAUUGUAACAAAUAUCUUUACGAAAUACAACAAAUAAUUACAGUAAUUAGUAAACUAGGUCUGAACAAUGCAUAACUGCACACAACAUCAUAUGUUGGUUCAAUAAUCAUGCCAUUAAAGUUUAAAAUGGUUUGGAGAAAGUGGUAGUAUUGAUCCAUCACAAGCAUGAACAUCUCUCACUUAGUAAUUAGCCUUGUAUGAGAGAUGUAUGCCUUUCUUAGGAUGUGUGUCACCACUUUGUCCGAAUGAGUUGAAACUAUUUUGUGAACAUUGUACACCAAAAUGAAUGGUCCAUGCAAGUUUUUAGAGUUUUCUAGCUAGGCUAUGGUAUUGUAACAAAUAUCUUUACGAAAUACAACAAAUAAUUACAGUAAUUAGUAAACUAGGUCUGAAAAAUGCAUAACUGCACACAACAUCAUAGGUUGGUUCAAUAAACAUGCCAUUAAAGUUUAAAAUGAUUUGGAGAAAGUGGUAGUAUAGAUCCAUCACAAGCAUGAACAUGUCUCACUUAGUAAUUAGCCUUAUAUGAGGGCUGUAUGCAUUUUUGUAGGAUGUAUGUCACCACUUUGUCAGAACGAAUUGCAUGUUUUUGUCAACAUUGUACACCAAAAUGAAGUGUACAUGCAAGUUUAUAGAUUUUUCUAGCUACCUAAGGUUUUUUAGCACUUAUUCUUUAGUAAAAUAACAAAUACUUACAUUAAUAGUUAAACUAGUUCUAAAAAUUGCACCGGCACAAAACAUCAUGGUACACCUCCAUUAACACCCCAAAAAAAGGUUGAAAUGAUUUGGAGAAACGGGUGCUAUACAUGUAAAUAAAUAAAAGAAAAAUUCGAAAAUGAUUGAAAAAUGUAAACAAAACAAAAAAAAAACCUACCUAUCCCAAAGCUCGAACACAAGACGCCAGGGUUCACAGCAGCAAGGAGUUACCAUUGGACUAGUCACGUUUGUUCAUUAGUAACAGAGCGCCGUUAUAUUUAAGCGUAAACUGUUCUCUGUCCAGGAUGUAACCGAGCGCCCAGUUCAGAGUCUGCAUUUUCAGAUUGUUCAGUUCAGAGUUAACUCUGCUGCCCAGUUCAGAUUGCUGCCCAGCUCAGAUUUGUUGGUUAUUUAUUUGUUCAAAGUUCAUAUUCAAUUCCACAAAACUAGCUCAGAUUUGUUGGUUAUCUAUUUGUUCAAAGUUCAGAUUCAAAUCCAAAAAACCAGCUCAGAUUUGUUGGUUAUCUAUUUGUUCAAAGUUCAGUUCUCUGAGAUAUAUAGCUCAGUCCAAAGUUCAAAGUUCAGAUUCAAAUCCACAAAACCAGCCAAAGUUCAUAAAUUCUCAAGCAAUCUGAGAACUCUGCCCAGUUCAAAGUUCAGAUUCUAAACUAAUGAGUUCUAAACUGCCCAGUUCAGAUUCUAAACUAAUGAGUUCUAAACUGCCCAGUUCAAGCAAUAUCUGAGAACUCUGCCCAGUUCAAAGUUCAAAGCAAUCAGAUUCUAAACUGCCCAGUUCAAAGUUCAGAUUCUAAACUGCCCAGAUGGUCAUUUCAUUUUCAGAGAUCAGUUCAGACUUCUGCAUUUUCAGAUUAAAACCCAGCUUAAAUUUUGACAAUAAAUUAAAACUUGCUUAGAUCACAUGAACUGAAAAUUGAUUCCCAUAAACCCAGCUUAGAUCACAUGAACUGAAAAUUUUCAGAUGUUCAGUUCUAAAAAUACAGAAAAUACAGAAUACACAUUCAGUUCACCACAAGUUCAGUUCACCCCAAAUUCAGUAUUUCAGACACACAUUCAGUUCUGAAAAUACAGAAAAUACAUUGUAUCAUCUAUCCGUACUAAUCUGAACUGAACACUUCAUAAAUCAACUAUCAAUACUAGAAAUCCUCAUCUUCAUCUUCUAUGGACAUGUCAUCAUUGUUGUCAUCGCCACCAUCAUUAAAAUAUUGAAACAUUGUAUCAUCUUCCUCCUCAUCCUCACUAUCUUCAAGAAUAAUAGCAGCUUCCUUCUUUUUUCUUAUUAGUUCCUCUAAAUUGCCUUCAAUUAGACUGGCUUCUCCACCUUCAACAUUGUGCAGAACCUGAUUAUCAUCACCUUCUUGCACUAUAUGGUCUGUAUCAGAACAAUAAUCAUCCUGAUGCACAUCAUUAUUGCCCUCAUAUUUUUCAGCCACAUCAUAAAUAUUCCUAUGCUCAAAUUUCUGCACAACUCGGAAAUCUUUACAUUGUGGAGUUGUGUCUUGCAGGUAAAAUAUCUUUUUCGCUUGGUCUGCCAAGAUAAAAGGAUCGGACUUGUACCAAAAUGACUGCACAUUGAUGGAUUUGAAAUGGCUGUCAUCUCGAAUGCCCACAGUCUUUCCUACUUGGUUGUACCAAUCGCAUCGAAAUACAACCACCGACCGACGAACUUGAUAAUUCGAGUUAUAUUGUAACUCAAUUACCUCUUUAAGGACACCAUAAAAAUCUAUGUUCUCCCCAUUAUGUUCACCUUCAGUCAUUACACCACUAUUUUGUGUCUGCAUGAACUUCUCACGAUCCACUGUGCUAAACCGCACUCCAUUAAUCUUGCAAGCUGUACUAGUCUUAACUCGCCGAGCUGGGCCACAUGACAGUGCCCACAGUCCUUCGCUAACCAAUUCUGGAUUCUCAUUACGCUUCUUCUCAACCUGUUGCAACAAAAUUACUCAGCUGAGCAAUUACAUAUGCAUACCCAAAACUUUAGUAAACCUAUAACAUAAAAGUUUAGUGACUUACAUGGGACAUAAACCACUUUGCAAAUCCUUGUUGAACCAUUCGAUCAACAUCAUUUGGACGUGCACCUUGCUGCGAUAGCUCCUCCCUGUACAGACUGCAUGGCAUACUUUAUUCAUAAGCAUAUUUUCAAAUUUAAUAAACAUAACAUAAAUUAUGUAGCACAUACCAAACUAACUUACGUCAAAUAUUCCUGUACUUCAUCAGCAUUAUGUAGCACAUACCAAACUAACUUAUUCAUGGUAGCAUCAUCAAUGUACUCAGUCUUAGUACCUCCAACAAGAGUAGCACCAUGCUUAAAAACAGACAUGUCAUUAGGCAAUGGCAUCUCUGUACCACUAUCAUCAUCCUGGUUAAAUCUAGUGUCAACAUCCUUCAUGUACCUAGAACAAAAUGUUAAGGUAUCACUUGACAUAUAUGCCUCAGCAAUUGAUCCUUCCGGCCUAGCCCUGUUCCUUACAAAAUUUUUCCUGGUACUCAUAAAUCAAAAUCCUUUCCUGGACAUCUUGGACCUGGGAUGAGUAAAGACAUAAAGCAGUUUGUUGGAUUCACGCAUUCCCAUGGUGGGAGAUUAAGCGGUGUCACAAGCACUGGCCACAUACUGUACUGGGUACUCAUGUUGCCAAAUGGAUUGAAUCCAUCGGUAGCUAAGGCUAGCCUCAGGUUCCUCGGAUCAUUUGCAAAACCUGGGUACUUUCGGUCAAAGUCCUUCCACGCUUCCCCAUCAGCUGGAUGGCUCAUCACAUUGGCGACUGGCUUCCUCACUUUCUUGUGCCAUUGUGUUUCCUCUGAAGUUUGUUUUGAAGCAAAAAUUCUUUUCAACCUUGGCAACAGUGGAAAAUGCCUCAAAACCUUAUGUGGAACCCGCUUCGAACCAGUUUCAUCUUUCCAUCUAGACUCUGUGCAUACUGGGCACUCAUUCAAUUUAGCAUUAACAUUCCGAAACAACACACAAUUGUUCUUGCACACAUGGAUGUUUUCGUAUCCAAGGCCCAAUUCUUUAAGAUAUUUCAUGGCCUCAUUAUAUGAUUUUGGCAACUCACUAUUAGGGUAUCCAUCGGACAUCAGCUUCAUCAUUGCUGAAAAUGCUGUAUUGCUGAUUCGAUAACGAGACUUCAUAUACAACAUCCUCACCAUAAAAGAAAAUUUUGAAUGGCUAGAACCCGGACUAAGUGCCUUCUUUGCAUCUCCAAGAACUCCUGCAAAUCUUGGCUCUUCUCCAUCAGCCUCUGCCGUUGCAAACAGUUCACCGAUCAUCUCAGGUACUCCAUGAUCAUCAUCGUAAACAUCAUCGUCCACAUCCAUAUUUAUCCCAAAGUCAUUAUCAUAUCCUUCGACAUCCUCCUCUAUACCCUCAACUUCUGUAUCUGCCGACUCCCCAUGAUGAAUCCACCUCGUGUAUGUAGCUGACAUUCCAUAAAUGUGUAUAUGAGUUUCUACUUCACUCUGAGGUCGCAACCUUUGAUUAAGACAAUUCACGCACGGACAACGAAUGUCUGUGUCUUCUGGGUAUCUUUCAGUAACAAAAUUCAUGAACUCUUCAACUCCUUUCACAUAUGCAGGUGUGAAUUGUUUCCCAUAAACCCAUCUUCUAUCCAUCUAUUUUGACAAUAAAUUAAAACUUGCAUUAACUCCAUAACUAUGAUUACAUUGAACAAAAUUGAAAACCACAUCAAACACAUGCAUAUAUGAAAUAAAAUUCAAACGCACAUAGAACCUUAUUGACAAAAACACAACACAUCAAACCUUGUCUUUUCUCCCCGCCCUGCCGCUGUUCUGUCCACGCCCGCCGUAGCUAUGCGCAAGACGCCGCUGCUUUGCCGCGCCCGAAGCUUCUCUGCCUCGCUGUUUGCAGACGACGCCGUUCUUCCAACACAGUUGGAUCAAUGGAUCAGGCGACAAGAUCGCUCGUUCGCUGCGACGCUACCCAGUUGCCGAUCAAGCGGACGACGACAGACGCCGGCGUCGUUGUGUGCCGUAACCUGACGGCCGAUCGCACAAGCGCAGAUCGCAGCAGGAAAAAACAGAACAGGCGUGAUCGCAGAAUGGCGGCUGGGAAAACCUGUUAACAUAACGACAGAUGGGAACACAUUAAUAAACGGGAAGUUUCUUUAUAUACACGAACAAGUCCGUAGUCUGGUGGUAGCAACGAUUUAACGCAAGCCGCAGGUCCCUGGUUCGAAGCUCUGCGGGUGCACCUUUUUUUUGCCAAAUAACUAACUGCCGCUUCGUACUGGGCCGGGUCCGCGUCGCCAGGUGGGGGCUGUGUCCCCAAAAAACUGCGGCCCAUGUAGGCCAAGGAUCCCACGCCGUGUGUACACGUGGGCCGUUUUUUACUAAAACUCAUCUGUGACCAAUUUAUUUCAGCAUUACGUCAGCCGAUCAAGCCAAAUUAAUCUGUGACGUUCCUUUCAUUUUCGUCUAUGACGUUCCUUUCAUUUUCGUCUUUAAUAUUCAAGUCUAAUCUUCGUCCCUUGUAAUUGUUGACGAAGCUAUCAAUUUGGUCAUAGAAAUGUAUCAAUCUGUGACUGAAGUCACCAGCGUCACUAGAAAAUCGUCACUGAUGAUCACAUUCUUACUAGUGUUCCCUCCUUUUUUUAAUAUGAUCUCGCAAUGACAUACUCAUUGUAGAACUAAAGAAUAUAUAUUUUUUGUCAGUUAGAAGUUAAAAUAAUAAAAUAGACUUAAAGCAAAUCAUGUAUCAUUUCAAAAGUACAAGUAAUAAGGACUAAAGUAAACCAUAUAUACGUACAAAGAAUUUAAUACCUUUUGGAGUUGGUACCGGAUCCCAAGAGGGAGGAGGUUCACCUUCCCCAACUAUAAUUGGUGUUGUAGGGAUCUACAUGUAACAACUCAAAUAAGUAGCUGGAAAACACAUGAAUCUAGGCACACAAAUGAAUCCGAACAAAUAAAUCUACACAGGACAAAUGAAUCUAGGUUUGUACUUAGAGAAUGAUUUAAACAACGCAGAUUUGGAAAGCUAAUCUGGACAUUUUUGAAAAACAAAACAAAACAAAACAAUUAGAGAAUGAUUUAACAUUUAAUCAGUAUAGCACAAACAAGAAGCACAAGUAGCACAAACAAUUAGAGAAUGAAUUUAGGCAAUACGCCGCUGGCUGUGACCAGUGGCGGAGCCAGACAAAAACCAAAGCCUGGGCACCGUGGAGAGGGAAGGGACGGCGACGUGUUGAGGUUAGGAUGAGACCACCACUGGCAGCCGCGCUUUCUUCUUCCUUGAUAGACUGCAAUAGAAACUACACCACUUCACGUCCUCGCUCUGCUUCCCGUGGAUCAGCCUGGCGGGGUUCCCCACAGCGGUGCUCUUGUGCGGCAGGUCGAAGAGCACCGCAAAGGAGCAGAGCUUGCUGGCGGGUGUAAGUGUAAGGCGAGGGAGCGGUCCAGGGACGGGAGCGACAACACCGUGGCAUAGAGGAAGGAGGCUAGCACCGGCUCGCGUCCGCGUCGCGGCCUUGAUCUGGGACCACCCACGGCAGGUACGAGUACGACGACACAAUGUCCGCUUGAAGCCACCGCCGGAGCCGAGCCCGGGCACGUGCCCAGGCAUGCCGGGCUCUGGCUCCGCCCAUGGCUGUGACGGUUGGGCCGGCGCUCCAUUACCCCAAUCCGCCCAACCCUGACAAGGUGUUCUACAUCAACAAGAAGGAGGCGCCUCUGCUCAAGACGAACCCUCUCAUCCUAGUGCUGCAUAUACCUAUCUAUGCAAUUGGCUGUAGCACGAGUAGCUGCUCGUGCCUUGUCUCUGGUUCGUUACUCCGUCCAGAUCUCACACACAGAGCACUAGUAUCGCACCAGUGGAUGAAGGAGCUAUUGCAACCAUAGAAGAUACAGGGUACUUUACGGAGGGUAGCUCGUACUGGUGAGAAGGUGGUGGGGAGACUUGCCGUCGGAGUUGUGCGGCGCCGCCGUCUCUUCACCUCCUGCGGCGCCAGUGCUGCGUCGUGCCCUACAGCCAGGAUCCGAUCCGGAGGUGAUUGUGCCAGUGUUUGUUCCAGGCCGUGGAAGGAGGAGAAAAUCUGAACUGGGUCAGGUUUACAUCCAGUCCAGGCCCAAACGAACGGUUCCAGCGGCUCCAACCAAAUUUCAAUCCGGCCCAAUCUAUUUCGCCCGGAAAAGACCAGGAACAACCCAAUCCCACCGAUACGAACAAGGCCUAAAUUUGGGUGGACAAGGGAAGGGGAAAG
rnacentral:lncRNA from 1 species